GGGCGCGUAGCUCAGUUGGUUAGAGCGCUACGUUGACAUCGUAGAGGUCGGAGGUUCGAAUCCUCUCGCGCCCA
rnacentral:tRNA from 1 species